CGGUACAUUUGUCACAUCUAUACACAUAACACAAACAAACUGUUCCAAAGAAGAUGGUUUCUUUCAGGUUCAUAGUCACCUUCUUUCUGUGUUCUACCUGUACUUCCAACAUAGUCCAGAAGCCCAUGAUGCAGAUCCUUGAAGGGGAUGACCUCAACAUCACUUGUGGACACAACACUCUAACCCCUGGUGACUAUAUUAAUUGGUACAGGCUGAUUCCUGGCCAGGGACCCGUCUUUCUACUCAAAGACUUUAAGGACAAUAUAGUACAAGAGAGCAGGUUUAAACUGAUCUUUGAUAAAGAAAGAAAGAACAGUGUAUUCAACGUGAGGGACAUGAAACUCGAAGAUACUGGUAUUUAUCUGUGUGCUCAGAGUGACACAGAGCUACAAGUGUAUUUCCUGCCUGUACAAUAUGUCAGCACAUCAUUUCUCAGCAGCUAUGAACAGUAUAUUGUAUAAGCUAACAACACCAAAAUAGUUAAAAUGAUCUAGUCACACCAAAUGGGUUGGGCUACACUAGGCAGUCUUGCCCAACGCAGCUCCAGCACAUAGACAAGGCAAAAAAACUUGUUUCCUAUAAUGGCAGUUUUUGUAAUCCCAUGGUAUGCCUUUGGUCUGCUACUUGCUGAGUCCAUUUAACCAUCACAGGACCAAGUUACAUCAAGGACCCAGAGACCACCUACCAUUGUGGCCGGCACUAGCAGUGUGGAAGCUCCUCCAUUGGUGUGAUUACACCUCCUGCUUGGUUGGCUCAUGGGGUAUAAGCCUUAUUAAGUCCACUCGCUCCGGUAAGCCUUUCCAUAAUUGGUGGUGGAUUCCUUCACUCAUAUGAUCUCUGCUGUUUGCAUUGGGAUUCAAUCCCCUUUUCUUCCUUGAAAACCUCAAAGAACAUUUGUUUUUCACAUAUGGAUGC